rnacentral:sRNA from 1 species
GUGAAGAAGAUCCGCAGCUCCACGCAGCAAGACCCGCGCCGCCGGGACCCCCAGGACGACGUGUACCUGGACAUCACCGAUCGCCUUUGUUUUGCCAUUCUCUACAGCAGACCAAAGAGUGCAUCAAAUGUACAUUAUUUCAGCAUAGAUAAUGAACUUGAAUAUGAGAACUUCUACGCAGAUUUUGGACCACUCAAUCUGGCAAUGGUUUACAGAUAUUGUUGCAAGAUCAAUAAGAAAUUAAAGUCCAUUACAAUGUUAAGGAAGAAAAUUGUUCAUUUUACUGGCUCUGAUCAGAGAAAACAAGCAAAUGCUGCCUUCCUUGUUGGAUGCUACAUGGUUAUAUAUUUGGGGAGAACCCCAGAAGAAGCAUAUAGAAUAUUAAUCUUUGGAGAGACAUCCUAUAUUCCUUUCAGAGAUGCUGCCUAUGGAAGUUGCAAUUUCUACAUUACACUUCUUGACUGUUUUCAUGCAGUAAAGAAGGCAAUGCAGUAUGGCUUCCUUAAUUUCAACUCAUUUAACCUUGAUGAAUAUGAACACUAUGAAGUAAGUCUUCAAGGAUCAUGUUUUCAACUCUUCCUCCCCCCGCCCAGCUUUAUUGAGGGGAAUAAUUGACAAAUAAAACUUAUAUAUACUUAAGAUGUACAAA